CCCGCCCGCCCGCUCGCCCGCCGCCUCCCUCCCUCCUUCCCUGCGGCUCCCCCGGCUUUCGGGAGCCCGGGGGCGGCCUGUGGCGCGCCGAGCCCGCGCCGGACUGCGCCUCUUUGGACCUUGAGGCGAAACAUGCGUUUGGCUUGGAUCGUUUUAAAUUCUUAGUUUGGGAUCCCCGCCCGCCUGCCUCUUCCGCUCCGCGGGUUUUCUUUUCUUUUUUCUUUUUGUUUUUUUUUCCCUUUUUUCCUCCCAGUCUCCUUUUUGACUCCCUCCCCCUUUAUGCUCGCCCAACCCUCCCCUCGCUACUGAGAAGUGGGGGAGGGUCUCCGCCUCCAGGUGCCCGCCCCACCGGGGCCCGGCCGAGCAUGGGGGGCAAGCAGAGCACGGCGGCCCGCUCCCGGGGCCCCUUCCCGGGGGUCUCCACCGAUGACAGCGCCGUGCCCCCGCCGGGAGGGGCGCCCCACUUUGGGCACUACCGGGCGGGCGGCGGGGCCAUGGGGCUGCGCAGCCGCUCGGUCAGCUCAGUGGCAGGCAUGGGCAUGGACCCCAGCACGGCCGGGGGGGUGCCCUUUGGCCUCUACACCCCCGCCUCCCGGGGGACCGGCGACUCGGAGAGGACGCCCGGCGGCGGAGGGUCCGCGUCCGACUCCACCUAUGCCCAUGGCAAUGGUUACCAGGAGACGGGCGGCGGUCACCAUAGAGACGGGAUGCUGUACCUGGGCUCCCGAGCCUCGCUGGCGGAUGCUCUACCUCUGCACAUCGCACCCAGGUGGUUCAGCUCGCACAGUGGUUUCAAGUGCCCCAUUUGCUCCAAGUCUGUGGCUUCUGAUGAGAUGGAAAUGCACUUUAUAAUGUGUCUGAGCAAACCUCGCCUCUCCUACAAUGAUGACGUGCUGACUAAAGAUGCGGGUGAGUGUGUGAUCUGCCUGGAGGAGCUGCUUCAGGGGGACACAAUAGCCAGGCUGCCCUGCCUGUGCAUUUAUCACAAAAGUUGCAUAGACUCCUGGUUUGAAGUGAACAGAUCUUGUCCAGAACACCCGGCAGACUGACCCUUCUGGGCUCGCUUGCUGACUCCUCUCAAAGGUUUAUUUUAUUUAUUCCAAGUAAACUCUCAGAACAGCUGAUGAUGUCAGACAGAUCAGGGACAUUUGAUCUUUUUACCUUCCCCCCAAAAACUGCGGACAUGGGGAGAAGAAAAAGCGAGGAUUGCUGUCUGCUGCCCAGCUAGAACCCACUCAGUGACAGAAACGAACAGAGCCAGGUCCUCACCACACGUGUUCUGAUGGCGUGGGAGCACGCCGUCCCAUUCCUGGCACCCCUGUCAGCCCACUCCAUCACCAACCGCUCUGCCUUGGUUUUUUUUUUUUUCCCCAGUUUCUGGCUAGGUUGUGCAUUUUUCUCCCCUUGGGACCCUGAUAUCUUGACCUCAUUGCCAAAAAACAACCCAUCGAGGACCUUUUCCGCCUCCAUUCUCAUUUCUUCUCUCCUCUUCCCUCCUGGUUCUGGUCAGUUCAGAGGAUUUAACAAUCACAAGUGUCCUGCAAAAAUGCCUGAACAUUUUUCUUAGACCCUUGUGGAUUUUUUUUUCCAGAAAACUUAAACAAAGACUUUAAUUAAAGGAAUAUGUACAGCUACCCCUGUUUUCAGGCACUCUGAGAACAUUUUAGCCGUUGAUGUUCACACGUGGCAUCAGCCCAUGCAAGAUAGGUUUCUGUAUUUAUAUAUUAAAAUACAAAAAAAAACUUAUAAAAUGUUUAAAAAAAUGUUCAAAGCUGGGGAAAAGCUUUCUUCAUUAGUCAAGGUGUUUUGAUAUGGUAUUAAAAUAAUGUCUAAUAAAAGA